CUGAGUAAAUAAUUAAAAAAAAAUGGAAAUAGAAAAGGACUAAAAUUAGGCCUCCAGCACGCACACUCGAUAGACGAAAUGCGUAAAUGCUGCUACUUCUCGCCUGUCUUCUGUGUGGUCGUGUUGUUGCAAAAGAAGAGCUGCACAUAUGUUGCGUGCGAAUACCAUAUGAAUAUCUCUAUAUAUAACAUUGGUCCACUGUUAAAAUCGCUGUACAGACUGUAUGUUACUAUUUGUUUUGAAGAAGGCGCGGGCUACUGCUAGUUUUAAUAAACUCGUUCACAAACGUCGGUCGCCGGCAGACGGCAGAGCUUGAGUGCCCGAGCCUCAGGCCUCAGAGUAAAGUAAGUGCUGCGCUCGCGCCGGGCCCCACGGCCCGGCCAAGGAGCUGCGAGCUGUGUGUAGAGUGCAGACGCAGGCCAGCCCAGCCCGGCCAGUGCGCGCCCGGCGGCGGCGAAGUCCGCACGUACCCGAGAACUCGCUCGCAGCGCGAACGCGGCGCACAACUUGUCACUACUCACUUUCGGCUUCGUCUUGUCGCGUCGACUAUACGCGUGUAAAUUGCGCAGUGACCGAAGUGAUUGAAGUUUAUUAUUAUUAUGCAUUACUACAUAGUUUUACAACAUUCGCAGUGUUACCAUUGUGAGAAGUGUGGAGAAAGGCGGUGGAGGCCGGGAGCUUCCUCACCGAUCUUCAUUUAUUUUUCGGCUAUCGUAUGACUCCGCUUUGAGAUCUUGAAAAUUGCUCAAGGCUAACGACGCGCUGCGCAAGAGACAAGACACUAGCGAAUUAGAAAAAGGCUGUAAGUGAAGAAGCGACAAUGGUGCGCAGGUGUAUUGUCGCAGCACCGCCCUCGCCGCACGCGCCGCUCUCGCCGCUCUCGCCGCUCUCACGGCACGCCGGGCUCUGCGCUGCGCUCAUCACAGCGCUGCUCUGCUUAGCGGUCACCGCUCAACUCGAUCUUGAGAAUGAACGACAACAGUCAAUUCGAUCCUCGCGGAAUGACACCGAGCUAGUGGUAACGGCGGUGUUGCCCGGUGGCAGCGCAGCGGGCGCGGCGCUUGCGGCGCUGACGGCGGCUGCGCUGCGCCGC